UACAGAGGUCCCGAAGCGUUGUUCGGAUUCAUUGGGCGUAAAGGGUGCGUAGGUGGCGUCGUAAGUCGGGUGUGAAAUCUCGGGGCUUAACUCCGAAACUGCAUUCGAUACUGCGGUGCUUGAGGACUGGAGAGGAGACUGGAAUUACGGUGUAGCAGUGAAAUGCGUAGAGAUCGUAAGGAAGACCAGUGGCGAAGGCGGGUCUCUGGACCGGCAUUGACGCUGAGGUGCGAAAGCGUGGGGAGCAAACAGG
rnacentral:rRNA from 1 species